GUCUUCUCAACUCUGGGACUGGCUAGGAUCUAUACACCAAUGUAGCGGUCAUAUUGACAGACACAGAAUUUUCAUUUGCCACAAGUGUUUAGUUAAAAUUCAAAGUUUUUUUUUUAUAAUGGGAAUUUGAACUCAGGGCCUUGCACUUGCUGGGCUGGCACUUUACCACUUGAGCCACGCCUCCAGUCCUGCUUUUCAGGGAUUAUUUUUGAGACAGGGUCUCACCUCUGGUUCUGGCUGGCCCCUGAGCUGUGACCCACCUGCUGUGGUCCUUCUGUCGUUGCUGGGAUGCACCUGUGCGCUGCACUGCCUCCAGCUUCUCUCCGUGGAGGUGGUGACUCCUGGACUUUCCUGCCUGGGCUGGUUAGCCUGAAACUUCCAUCCUCCUGAUCUCAGCCUCUCAAGUGGCCAGAAUCACAGGCAUGAACCACUGGUACAUGGCUCAAGGUUUAUUUUCAUCAAGAGUACCUUUGAGAAAGCACUGAAAACUAUUGCCCCUGAAAAUCAUGUGUGACUGCUUAUGAUGUACCAUGGAGCUUCCUGAAGAGCUAUUUUGAUGAUCAUGCUUUAACUUUAUUGAAUGUUUUUAGAUGGUGGCACAUAGUAUUCAAUUAUCUCAUUUUAGAAACUAUUUAAACCGUGUCCCUGCUAACAUGGCUGGCUCCUCCGGAGCCCUGCAGUGCCCUUCCCGUGGGCUGCCAGAGGCCGUGGUCUCAGCAGAGCAGGCAUCUAAUAAAGUAAGCACCCUUCACAGAA